rnacentral:ncRNA from 1 species
AGCACUGAAAGGAUCUUUCAAUAGUAGGAGAGCAUUGAGUAUGACACAUCUCUAGUGUAUUGAUUAUUGUGUCAACGAUAAACGUUGGAUAGUCAAAUGCGGAGCAAAUAACUGUUGAAAGCAUUUAGAUAGUAAGUUCACUCUAACAUGAGUGUU